CUACGGGGUGCUGCAGUGAGGAAUAUUGCGCAAUGGGGGAAACCCUGACGCAGCGACGCCGCGUGGAUGAUGAAGGCCUUCGGGUCGUAAAAUCCUGUCAGAAGGAAAGAAGUGUAUGGUAGCUAAUAUUUGCCAUACUUGACGGUACCUUCAAAGGAAGCACCGGCUAACUCCGUGCCAGCAGCCGCGGUAAUACGGAGGGUGCAAGCGUUGUUCGGAAUUACUGGGCGUAAAGCGCGCGUAGGCGGUUUUAUAAGUCAGAUGUGAAAGUCCACGGCUCAACCGUGGAAGUGCAUUUGUAACUGUAAGACUUGAGUAUUGGAGGGGGUAGUGGAAUUCCCGGUGUAGAGGUGAAAUUCGUAGAUAUCGGGAGGAAUACCGGUGGCGAAGGCGACUAUCUGGCCAAAUACUGACGCUGAGGUGCGAAAGCGUGGGGAGCAAACAGGAUUAGAUACCCGCGUAGUC
rnacentral:rRNA from 1 species